ensembl:lncRNA
GGGGCCUUCCCGUGGGUGGGGCUCUUCUGGUAGACUCCCCGGGAGAAUCUACCUCUCUUGUUGUAGAGACUGUCCUGCUUGCUCCUUUAACUUUGCCCUCUGCCUGGUAUCAGGGCCAGUGUGUCACCUCCAAAGGAAAUGUUUAUUCAGAAAUUCUAUCAGCUAAAUGCAGUGCAGUCUGAACACAGUGACUUCAAUGGGACUUAUUUGUCUGUGUAUGAACCGAUGACAAGAAUACUCCCACGGAAAGAAGUAGAAGACAGGAAACAGGAAAGGGCCAAGGUCACAGCAGAGAAGCAACUUCUCGCACACGGACUUUGCCUUAAGUCUUGUUGGCUGGACCACAGAGUAACCCCCUACAAAGGACAUUAGGAAAUAAGCUUCAAGCAAAUGCUACCAUCUGCAGUAAAAUUGAAGUUCUGUCAGGGAAAAGAAGAGAAGGAUGUCAUAUCGAAGAGCAUCACCAGG